ACGGCUAAAGGAGAAAAUAAGAGACCAAUCUUUGUUUUAAUUUGACAGAAAAUAUUUAUUUCCCCAUUCAAAGAAUUUAAAGAAAGGUGAUUAGUGAAAAACAAGUCAACACCCAAACUGAGGAGUGGGAAGGAGCUGGAGGAAGCGGGAUGGCUCCAGAUGACAAACAGUCACACGUCUUUGGCUCUAACAGCAGCAGGGGCGGCGUCUACACACCAUAGCAGGCUGAAAGCCUCUCCUUCAGCAGCGGUGGAAACUGUUCGGAGAACUGCUGCCAGUUAUCCUCACCAACCUGAUCCUUGAAGCCGUGCAAAAUCUAGACAAGAAAUGGAUAAAUUCUGCUGAAGCAUAGCAGACAAUUGUGCUUCUAUCUUGGCCAACUGUAAACCCAUCUAAUCAAAGUUGU